rnacentral:tRNA from 1 species
GGUGGCUCAAUGGUAGAGUGCUUGCCUCACAUGCAUGAGGUCCUGGGUUCUAUUCCUUAGCACCA